ACCCUUUUAGGGUCGCACCAGGAGAGUUUCCAGUACUCUAACAGACACGACUAUGGGAGGGAAAGUCAAGCAGAGGCAUACCCAUUCCAUUCCUAGCUUGGCCGGUGGCUGGUGAGUGGAAGGCCAUCUGCUACAAGU